rnacentral:rRNA from 1 species
UACGUAGGGUGCGAGCGUUAAUCGGAAUUACUGGGCGUAAAGCGUGCGCAGGCGGUGAUGUAAGACAGAUGUGAAAUCCCCCGGGCUCAACCUGGGAACUGCAUUUGUGACUGCAUCGCUGGAGUGCGGCAGAGGGGGAUGGAAUUCCGCGUGUAGCAGUGAAAUGCGUAGAUAUGCGGAGGAACACCGAUGGCGAAGGCAAUCCCCUGGGCCCGCACUGACGCUCAUGCACGAAGCGUGGGGAGCAAACAGG